GCUGAGCAGUUUGACCAGCUGUGCCACACCUGGAAUGUGAACUUCACAUCUGCCUUUAAAAUAAGAAAGACCCUGUCAAACUAGCUGAGCAGGAUUUCUUUUCUGAUGCUACACAUGGAGGGAGACCUGGAAAAUGUUGUUCUGAAAAGAGCAUCACUGGAGAACUGCGGUGGAGAAUAAUCCCAAAUGCACUCUUCUCCUAUCAUUUGACAACUGACAUUUCUCGGUUUGAAAGACUGCAAUCAUAAUUCCGGAGGAAG